rnacentral:rRNA from 1 species
ACGAUGCGUAGGGGUACUGAGAGGUAAGCCCCCCACACUGGGACUGAGACACGGCCCAGACUCCUACGGAAGGCAGCAG